rnacentral:rRNA from 1 species
UCCGUAGGUGAACCUGCGGAGGGAUCAUUACCGAGUGAGGGCGCCCGCCCGACCUCCAACCCCAUGUUUUCCAACCAUGUUGCCUCGGGGGCGACCCGGCCGCCGUGCCGGGGCCCCCGGCGGACCCCUCAACUCUGCAUCUUUGCGUCUGAGUGAUAACGAAAAAUCAAUCAAAACUUUCAACAACGGAUCUCUUGGUUCUGGCAUCGAUGAAGAACGCAGCGAAAUGCGAUAAGUAAUGUGAAUUGCAGAAUUCAGUGAAUCAUCGAAUCUUUGAACGCACAUUGCGCCCUCUGGUAUUCCGGAGGGCAUGCCUGUUCGAGCGUCAUUACACCCCUCCAGCCUCGCUGGGUGUUGGGCAUCGCGGCCUCCGCGCGCCUCAAUGUCUCCGGCCGAGCCGACCGUCUCUAAGCGUUGUGGCACAACUGUUUCGCUUCCGGGACCGGUCCGGCGUCGCGCCGUCAACCCCCUCUCUCACAGGUUGACCUCGGAUCAGGUAGGGAUACCCGCUGAACUUAAGCAUAUCAAUAAGCGGAGGA